CUCCUUGCACACAUCAGCAGCUGCAACAGUGGUAGCAUUGCCUUUGGUGGGCUGUGGUGACCUGGCUUGGAACAUUGGCAGUAGCUGCUUACAUCAGGCAAGGAGGAUUGUAAUUUGGCAGCUGGCAGAACUGUGCUUGGAGCACACCUGAGACAUCCCGGAGCACCCUGACCUAUUGGAAGUGGGGGAUGAAACCUCCAGCAGAGGAGGAGCACAGCCCUCUAAAUCUCUGAGAGGAAUUCUGGAAAAUCAAAGGGCACAUAGCUGACUUACCUCUGCUCCUGGACAGACAGAACCAAAAUACACCCUGAACAACGAAAGUAAGCACGGUCUCCAUGAAGUACCAGGGGAAGAAAUCUCAAAUCAUCCCCAAACUCCAGGAAGUCCAGAUGAGACUGCAAGUCUAAGAACCCUGAGUUACCUCAACUGGCACCAACAGGGAAACACUGAAUGUAACCCAGCCCUGUUGGUGGGCGUAGCCUGGAAAGAGGACUGACUACAUGUGCACGUC